rnacentral:lncRNA from 1 species
AGUCGGAUCAGCUACGUUGUGGGUUCCUGGCUCUUGAAGGACGCCAGGGUUCGGGCUUGCUGCUGCCGCCACCACCACCAAAACGGUCAGAAUCCUGAGGUGAAGCCCUGCUGCCACUAGUCCAGCGUUCAGAUUGCGAUGGAGGGGCCCUGCUGGCGGCAGUCCAUCGAUCAGAUUCUGAGGGUGCAGGCCUGACCCAGCGAUCAGGUUCUGAAGGCAGAGCUGAACCAGAGCUUUCAAGUCUUUCACGCCGGAACUUAGGUACAUAUUUCCCAGGAGAUG